UAGAGUUUGAUCCUGGCUCAGAUUGAACGCUGGCGGCAGGCCUAACACAUGCAAGUCGAGCGGUAGAGAGGUGCUUGCACCUCUUGAGAGCGGCGGACGGGUGAGUAAUGCCUAGGAAUCUGCCUGGUAGUGGGGGAUAACGUUCGGAAACGAACGCUAAUACCGCAUACGUCCUACGGGAGAAAGCAGGGGACCUUCGGGCCUUGCGCUAUCAGAUGAGCCUAGGUCGGAUUAGCUAGUUGGUGAGGUAAUGGCUCACCAAGGCGACGAUCCGUAACUGGUCUGAGAGGAUGAUCAGUCACACUGGAACUGAGACACGGUCCAGACUCCUACGGGAGGCAGCAGUGGGGAAUAUUGGACAAUGGGCGAAAGCCUGAUCCAGCCAUGCCGCGUGUGUGAAGAAGGUCUUCGGAUUGUAAAGCACUUUAAGUUGGGAGGAAGGGUUGUAGAUUAAUACUCUGCAAUUUUGACGUUACCGACAGAAUAAGCACCGGCUAACUCUGUGCCAGCAGCCGCGGUAAUACAGAGGGUGCAAGCGUUAAUCGGAAUUACUGGGCGUAAAGCGCGCGUAGGUGGUUCGUUAAGUUGGAUGUGAAAGCCCCGGGCUCAACCUGGGAACUGCAUUCAAAACUGUCGAGCUAGAGUAUGGUAGAGGGUGGUGGAAUUUCCUGUGUAGCGGUGAAAUGCGUAGAUAUAGGAAGGAACACCAGUGGCGAAGGCGACCACCUGGACUGAUACUGACACUGAGGUGCGAAAGCGGGGGGAGCAAACAGGAUUAGAUACCCUGGUAGUCCACGCCGUAAACGAUGUCAACUAGCCGUUGGGAGCCUUGAGCUCUUAGUGGCGCAGCUAACGCAUUAAGUUGACCGCCUGGGGAGUACGGCCGCAAGGUUAAAACUCAAAUGAAUUGACGGGGGCCCGCACAAGCGGUGGAGCAUGUGGUUUAAUUCGAAGCAACGCGAAGAACCUUACCAGGCCUUGACAUCCAAUGAACUUUCCAGAGAUGGAUUGGUGCCUUCGGGAGCAUUGAGACAGGUGCUGCAUGGCUGUCGUCAGCUCGUGUCGUGAGAUGUUGGGUUAAGUCCCGUAACGAGCGCAACCCUUGUCCUUAGUUACCAGCACGUUAUGGUGGGCACUCUAAGGAGACUGCCGGUGACAAACCGGAGGAAGGUGGGGAUGACGUCAAGUCAUCAUGGCCCUUACGGCCUGGGCUACACACGUGCUACAAUGGUCGGUACAGAGGGUUGCCAAGCCGCGAGGUGGAGCUAAUCCCAUAAAACCGAUCGUAGUCCGGAUCGCAGUCUGCAACUCGACUGCGUGAAGUCGGAAUCGCUAGUAAUCGCGAAUCAGAAUGUCGCGGUGAAUACGUUCCCGGGCCUUGUACACACCGCCCGUCACACCAUGGGAGUGGGUUGCACCAGAAGUAGCUAGUCUAACCUUCGGGGGGACGGUUACCACGGUGUGAUUCAUGACUGGGGUGAAGUCGUAACAAGGUAGCCGUAGGGGAACCUGCGGCUGGAUCACCUCCUUA
rnacentral:rRNA from 1 species